UACAGAGGGUGCUAGCGUUGUUCGGAAUCAUUGGGCGUAAAGGGCGUGUAGGCGGUUUGUUAAGUCAUGUGUGAAAUCCCUCGGCUCAACCGGGGAAGGACGCAUGAAACUGGCAAGCUAGAGUACCAAAGAGGGGGGUGGAAUUCCCGGUGUAGCGGUGAAAUUCGUAGAUAUCGAGAGGAACACCGGUGGCGAAGGCGGCCAACUGGACAGAUACUGACGCUGAGACACGAAAGCGUGGGGAGCAAACAGG
rnacentral:rRNA from 1 species